GAUGAAGAACGUAGCGAAAUGCGAUAAGUAAUGUGAAUUGCAGAAUUCAGUGAAUCAUCGAAUCUUUGAACGCACAUUGCGCCCGCCAGUAUUCUGGCGGGCAUGCCUGUCCGAGCGUCAUUUCAACCCUCGAACCCCUCCGGGGGGUCGGCGUUGGGGAUCGGCCCUCACUUAGCGGGUGGCCGUCUCCGAAAUACAGUGGCGGUCUCGCCGCAGCCUCUCCUGCGCAGUAGUUUGCACACUCGCAUCGGGAGCGCGGCGCGUCCACAGCCGUUAAACACCCAACUUCUGAAAUGUUGACCUCGGAUCAGGUAGGAAUACCCGCUGAACUUAAGCAUAUCAAUAAGCGGAGGA
rnacentral:misc_RNA from 1 species